GAAGAAAAUGAGAACAUCUCGAAAUCAAGAAAGUCAAGAAAGGAAAGAAAUUCACGACAACUCCCAACAAGACUGAAAGAUUAGAAAUCCCAGAUGCUUCAAGCUCGAAUUAAACAAGAAAGAAAGACUAUGGUCCAAGUGAAAGACGAGAUUUAUUCAGAGGUAUAAAACAGAUGCAGCGCAUUUCCUUCGACAACAUUUCGUGUCAGAGCUUAAAUUCAAGCACCAAAAUCAAGGACUGGAUAGUUGAAAAUCACAGGUUUUCGGUUGAAUCAAUGUAAAGGGCGGUGUAAAAUGAGAAAUUUUCACGCCGAAAAACUUAGAACAAUACUGGUGCUUUAGGUACACACUCGCCAAUAUUUUCUUUAUUUACUCUGUAAGUAACAACUGUUUAAGUGUGGCGAAUUUUCCCGCCAAAAGACUUAGAAAAAUACGGUGCUCAAAAUACGCAUGCGCCGAUUUAAAAAAAAAGAAAUUAGCUGUUAAUAAACUUAAUUUUGUUUACUUGUUGUAUUGUCUUAUCAUCUACUAAAUAAAUUGACCAGUUUUUAUGUUAA